UUGCAGAUGGUGUUCAACGGGAAACCGUGAAGCCGUGGGGCUGGUCUGCGCAAUACCGGACCCUCGCCGUUUUGCAA
rfam:Chlorobium ferrooxidans DSM 13031 ctg21, whole genome shotgun sequence.